CCUGAUCCGCCAUGCCGCGUGGGUGAUGAAGGCCUUCGGGUUGUAAACCUCUUUUGUCCGGGACGAAAAGGUCCGGGCUUAUAACUCAGGCUCCUGACGGUUCCGUAUCAAUAAACCCCCGCUUACUUCGUGCCCUCCGCCCCGGUAAUUCCACGGGGGGUGCGUUAAUCGGAAUUACUGGGCGUAAAAGGGGUGCAAGCCGUGAUCUUAACCCGAUGUGAAAUCCCCGGGCUUAACCUGGGAACUGCCUUUGAGACUGGUGGGCUUGAGUGUGGAAAAGGGGAAUGGAAUUCCCUGUGUAGCAGUGAAAUGGGUAAAUUUUCGGAAGAACACCGAUGGCGAAGGCCAUCCCCUGGGCCUGCACUGACACUCAAGCUCAAAAACCUGGGGAGCCAACGGGAUUAAAUACCCUGGUUAUCCGUUGCCUAAACGAUGUCAACUGUGUGUUGGGUGUUCUUUAACUCUGCCGCCUGGAGACUACGUGAAGUUGAUUUCCACUGGAAGAAAUUUGGCGGGGUUGAAACUCCAGA
rnacentral:rRNA from 1 species